rnacentral:rRNA from 1 species
CGAAACCGAUAGCGAACAAGUACCGUGAGGGAAAGUUGAAAAGUACUCUGAAUAGAGAGUUAAAUAGUACGUGAAACCGCUUAGGGGUUAAGCCCGAUGAACCCGAAUAUCUGAUGUGAGAAAUUCAAUACUGUUUAUUCAACGGAUAGUAUGCACUUUUCUCAUAGUAAGACAUUGUAAUCCAUUGAUGCUAUAUCUCUUUCAUUUACGGAAGAGAUGAUUUAACAUACGGACAAGAUGUAUAUGAUUAUUCUAUCAGUGAUGUGUUUUACAUGUCAUAUGAAUAAGAUCGUUUUGUACCUGUUUAAAUAGUCGAUGGAUUUUAACUGAAUCAUGCUUGCAAUUUAUUUUGCGUUUCGUAUUAUUGGCCACUCGUUGGUUGAUAAUAGCAGAAAUUGCAUGCAUUCGAUUAACAAUGCGAUAGAUUUGGGAUACUUUCAGGACCCG